rnacentral:rRNA from 1 species
GACGAACGCUGGCGGCGUGCUUAACACAUGCAAAUCGAACGGAAAGGCCCUGCUUUUGUGGGGUGCUCGAGUGGCGAACGGGUGAGUAACACGUGAGUAACCUGCCCUUGACUUUGGGAUAACUCCAGGAAACUGGGGCUAAUACCGGAUAGGAGCUCCUGCUGCAUGGUGGGGGUUGGAAAGUUUCGGCGGUUGGGGAUGGACUCGCGGCUUAUCAGCUUGUUGGUGGGGUAGUGGCUUACCAAGGCUUUGACGGGUAGCCGGCCUGAGAGGGUGACCGGCCACAUUGGGACUGAGAUACGGCCCAGACUCCUACGGGAGGCAGCAGUGGGGAAUAUUGCACAAUGGGCGGAAGCCUGAUGCAGCAACGCCGCGUGCGGGAUGACGGCCUUCGGGUUGUAAACCGCUUUCGCCUGUGACGAAGCGUGAGUGACGGUAAUGGGUAAAGAAGCACCGGCUAACUACGUG